CGGAACGGGUGAGUAACGCGUGAGGAACCUGCCUCAAAGAGGGGGGAAACAGUUGGAAACGACUGCUAAUACCGCAUAAGCCCACGGCUCGGCAUCGAGCAGAGGGAAAAGGAGCAAUCCGCUUUGAGAUGGCCUCGCGUCCGAUUAGCUAGUUGGUGAGGUAACGGCCCACCAAGGCGACGAUCGGUAGCCGGACUGGGAGGUUGAACGGCCACAUUGGGACUGAGACACGGCCCAG
rnacentral:rRNA from 1 species